rnacentral:rRNA from 1 species
CCGCCGGCGACCGGCGCACGGGUGAGUAACACGUAUGCAACCUGGCCGUGACAGAUGGAUAACCGGGAGAAAUCCCGCCUAAUACAACAUAAUGCCGGGAGGGGACAUCCCCUGCCGGCCAAAGGGGGCGACCCCGGUCACGGAUGGGCAUGCGGCGCAUUAGGUAGUUGGUGGGGCAACGGCCCACCAAGCCGACGAUGCGUAGGGGUUCUGAGAGGAAGGUCCCCCACACUGGAACUGAGACACGGUCCAAACUCCUACGGAAGGCAGCAG